GGGGGACCAGGUGCGCAAAUGGUCUGUUGAUUGUGCAUUUGUAAGCCUAAGUUAGGCGGCCAACGAACAGCUGGCUUGGUCAUUACACCUAAUCUGCUAUUUUUAGCAUUGUAACUAGCAUCUGAAGUCUGAAAGUUCACUGAUCCUCCAAAGGGAUUAAUAGCAAAUAAAUGGCUGGUCCCCCUCGAAGAACUUAUCAUAAUCCAGUUGCUGUCAUUACUGAAACUGAUGUCCUGUAUAACUGCAU
rnacentral:misc_RNA from 1 species